AUUGAACGCUGGCGGCAGGCCUAACACAUGCAAGUCGAGCGAGUGGCGGACGGGUGAGUAAUGUAUGGGAAACUGCCUGAUGGAGGGGGAUAACUACUGGAAACGGUAGCUAAUACCGCAUACCAUCGGAUGUGCCCAUAUGGGAUUAGCUAGUAGGUGGGGUAAAGGCUCACCUAGGCGACGAUCCCUAGCUGGUCUGAGAGGAUGACCAGCCACACUGGAACUGAGACACGGCCCAGACUCCUACGGGAGGCAGCAGUGGGGAAUAUUGCACAAUGGGCGCAAGCCUGAUGCAGCCAUGCCGCGUGUAUGAAGAAGGCCUUCGGGUUGUAAAGUACUUUCAGCGGGGAGGCGUUACCCGCAGAAGAAGCACCGGCUAACUCCGUGCCAGCAGCCGCGGUAAUUC
rnacentral:rRNA from 1 species